UUGAACGCUGGCGGCAGGCCUAACACAUGCAAGUCGAACGGUAACAGGAAGCAGCUUGCUGCUUUGCUGACGAGUGGCGGACGGGUGAGUAAUGUCUGGGAAACUGCCUGAUGGAGGGGGAUAACUACUGGAAACGGUAGCUAAUACCGCAUAACGUCGCAAGACCAAAGAGGGGGACCUUCGGGCCUCUUGCCAUCGGAUGUGCCCAGAUGGGAUUAGCUUGUUGGUGGGGUAACGGCUCACCAAGGCGACGAUCCCUAGCUGGUCUGAGAGGAUGACCAGCCACACUGGAACUGAGACACGGUCCAGACUCCUACGGGAGGCAGCAGUGGGGAAUAUUGCACAAUGGGCGCAAGCCUGAUGCAGCCAUGCCGCGUGUAUGAAGAAGGCCUUCGGGUUGUAAAGUACUUUCAGCGGGGAGGAAGGGAGUAAAGUUAAUACCUUUACUCAUUGACGUUACCCGCAGAAGAAGCACCGGCUAACUCCGUGCCAGCAGCCGCGGUAAUACGGAGGGUGCAAGCGUUAAUCGGAAUUACUGGGCGUAAAGCGCACGCAGGCGGUUUGUUAAGUCAGAUGUGAAAUCCCCGGGCUCAACCUGGGAACUGCAUCUGAUACUGGCAAGCUUGAGUCUCGUAGAGGGGGGUAGAAUUCCAGGUGUAGCGGUGAAAUGCGUAGAGAUCUGGAGGAAUACCGGUGGCGAAGGCGGCCCCCUGGACGAAGACUGACGCUCAGGUGCGAAAGCGUGGGGAGCAAACAGGAUUAGAUACCCUGGUAGUCCACGCCGUAAACGAUGUCGACUUGGAGGUUGUGCCCUUGAGGCGUGGCUUCCGGAGCUAACGCGUUAAGUCGACCGCCUGGGGAGUACGGCCGCAAGGUUAAAACUCAAAUGAAUUGACGGGGGCCCGCACAAGCGGUGGAGCAUGUGGUUUAAUUCGAUGCAACGCGAAGAACCUUACCUGGUCUUGACAUCCACAGAACUUUCCAGAGAUGGAUUGGUGCCUUCGGGAACUGUGAGACAGGUGCUGCAUGGCUGUCGUCAGCUCGUGUUGUGAAAUGUUGGGUUAAGUCCCGCAACGAGCGCAACCCUUAUCCUUUGUUGCCAGCGGUCCGGCCGGGAACUCAAAGGAGACUGCCAGUGAUAAACUGGAGGAAGGUGGGGAUGACGUCAAAUCAUCAUGCCCCUUAUGUCUUGGGCUACACACGUACUACAAUGGCUAUAACAAAGAGAAGCGAGACAGUGAUGUGGAGCAAAACUCAAAAAAAUAGUCUCAGUUCGGAUUGAAGGCUGAAAUUCGCCUUCAUGAAGCUGGAAUUGCUAGUAAUGGCAGGUCAGCAUACUGCCGUGAAUACGUUCCCGGGCCUUGUACACACCGCCCGUCACACCAUGAGAGUUGGGAAUACCCGAAGCCUGUAAGCUAACGCAAGAGGCAGCAGUCGAAGGUAGAAUCAAUGAUUGGGGUG
rnacentral:rRNA from 1 species